rnacentral:lncRNA from 1 species
GAUGGAGUGAACCAAAAAAGGGGCAAAAACAGCCUGUCUGCAGUAGACAAGGCUUGCCCAGGUGUCCCGUCUGAGCCCAGAGCCAAUCUCCUUAUUGCCCUUAAAAAAAGGCUUGGCAGAGAAGAAAAUAAAAAGACAUUCUGAGACAAUUUGAAAGAAAAGAUUUUUAAAAUGCAAAACAGCAAAGAUCACCAAACAAGGAUGGGACAAUAUUAACCCAUCUUCCAAGCUGGAUCAUUCUUGCUGUGCCAGGAUGGGUGAGCUUCAUACAUUCAGAAACUGCCAAGACCCCGAAGGGAGUGCAAAGGAACCCUUUGC